rnacentral:rRNA from 1 species
CCUACGGGAGGCAGCAGUAGGGAAUCUUUCACAAUGGGCGAAAGCCUGAUGGAGCAACGCCGCGUGCAGGAUGAAGGCCUUCGGGUUGUAAACUGCUUUUAUAAGCGAGAAAUAUGAUGGUAACUUAUGAAUAAGUAUCGGCUAACUACGUGCCAGCAGCCGCGGUCAUACGUAGGAUCCGAGCAUUAUCCGGAGUGACUGGGUGUAAAGAGUUGCGUAGGUGGCAUAAUAAGUAGCUAGUGAAAUCUGGUGGCUCAACCAUUCAGACUAUUAGCUAAACUGUUAAGCUCGAGACCGUUAGGGGUAACUGGAAUGUCUAGUGUAGGAGUGAAAUCCGUAGAUAUUAGAAGGAACACCAAUAGCGUAGGCAGGUUGCUGGGACGGUUCUGACACUAAGGCACGAAAGCGUAGGGAGCAAACGGGAUUAGAUACCCGGGUAGUC